rnacentral:rRNA from 1 species
UACGUAGGGGGCAAGCGUUGUCCGGAUUUAUUGGGCGUAAAGAGCGUGUAGGCGGUUUGGUAGGUCCGCUGUGAAAACUCGAGGCUCAACCUCGAGACGCCGGUGGAAACCAUCAGACUAGAGUCCGGAAGAGGAGAGUGGAAUUCCUGGUGUAGCGGUGAAAUGCGUAGAUAUCAGGAGGAACACCUGUGGCGAAAGCGGCUCACUGGACCACAACUGACGCUGAGGCGCGAAAGCGUGGGUAGCAAACAGG